GCUGGAAAUUAUUAAAACACAUUGCUCGAGUGGGCCGCGGUGGGGUUAUGCGCGGUACACAUAGUAUGCGGAUUGGGGCAGCAGAGUACCUAUAUAUACCGUACAGGAUUUAAGAUUGGAUAUCAGUGAUUUGCAGUCAUCACGUCUUGCUAAAAAUACCUUUGAGUUCUAACCCGAAAACACCUCUCAACCAAACAUCAUCAUGUACAAGUUAAUGUUGUUGCUCGUCGCCGCCAUGGCCCUCAUCGCCGCCGUCUCCUCCCAAGUCAUCUACACUUACCCGGCCACUUACCCGUCCGUGUACACUUACCCGCAGUACCAGACGUACAACUACCCGUUGACUUACCCGAUUGUCUACCCGCUGCUCCGCCGAUAGACCCGCACGAGUCGCACACAUACUUCCACGAAGCAAAUACACACGACAACAACUGAUAAGUGUCUGUAACACUUACUCAAGUCAUGUACUUCACCGCCGCGGCUUCCUGGAUCUUUCUUCGCUCAACGUUCUUACUUACACAGCACGAGUCUUUAUCAAUUUCAUAAAAUGACAUCUUCACAACACACCUUCUAUUCUGUACUGUUUAUUUAUUUUUAAUAUUCAAUUGCUCUGAAAAUAAACUAUUGUUUUUUUUAUCAGUACCUAAAAAACA